AGCGAACGCUGGCGGCAGGCCUAAUACAUGCAAGUCGAGCGGGUGUAGCAAUACACCAGCGGCAGACGGGAGAGUAACACGUGGGAAUGUGCCCUUCAGUUCGGAACAACCCAGGGAAACUUGGGCUAAUACCGGAUACGUCCGUAAGGAGAAAGAUUUAUCGCUGAAGGAUCGGCCCGCGUCUGAUUAGCUUGUUGGUGAGGUAAUGGCUCACCAAGGCGACGAUCAGUAGCUGGUCUGAGAGGAUGAUCAGCCUCACUGGGACUGAGACACGGCCCAGACUCCUACGGGAGGCAGCAGUAGGGAAUAUUGGAUAAUGGGCGCAAGCCUGAUCCAGCCAUGCCGCGUGGGUGAUGAAGGCCCUAGGGUUGUAAAGCCCUUUCGGCGGGGAAGAUAAUGACGGUACCCGCAGAAGGAGCCCCGGCUAACUUCGUGCCAGCCGCCGCCGUAACAC
rnacentral:rRNA from 1 species